rnacentral:rRNA from 1 species
CACGUAGGGUGCGAGCGUUGUCCGGAAUUAUUGGGCGUAAAGAGCUCGUAGGCGGUGUGUCGCGUCGGCCGUGAAAACCUGAGGCUUAACCUUGGGCGUGCGGGCGAUACGGGCAGACUGGAGUACUGCAGGGGAGACUGGAAUUCCUGGUGUAGCGGUGGAAUGCGCAGAUAUCAAGGAGGAACACCGGUGGCGGAAGGCGGGUCUCUGGGCAGUAACUGACGC